GGUUAAGCUAACGCAGCUAACCGCAGUGUGACGGUUGGUCACUGAGAUGCUACUUAGCUGUUUAUGUGUGGAUGUUCUUUUACCGUUUUGCUGCAUUUAAUGCAUUAGGAGUGAUGAAGUUUUGCAUUGGAGCAAAUAACCCACGUGCUGGGUUUCAGACAUUCCAUGGAGAUUCCCUCACUGGAGGAGAUGGUGAGCCUGAGUCCACUGUAAAGGGAUCCAGCAUCAUCAUGUGGAUUUCUGCGCUGCUGAGGAGAGGAACUGCUCGUCAGAUUUUAGGAUAAAGGCUGCUGAAGGAGAAGUCUUUGACAUUCUAUAAAGACCCCUCUUCAAGCAGGAAGCGGGCCUCGCCACAGAUAAGAACGGGCCCCGGUGACUCCUCGCCUGCCGUCCACUGGACGCUGCAAAGUUAAACUGACCAGAGCAGGUUGGAAGCCAAGCCUCAUCCCCUGCAGGUGUUUGUCAGUCUCCCUCAUCCAGACCCUCCCAGGUCUCACCAUCUCACCCAUCUGUUUCCAUUCGAGACAGGCCUCGCUCCCCGGCCCCUGUGACCCCCCUCUCACGUCAGGCUGCAGCAUGUAAUUAAACACGGACAGUAGGAAAUAACGUGUGAGCUGCAGCUGCAGCGGCCGUCUGUCGGCUGCUUUGUUGGACGAAAUCAGCUGUUUAUUACUGCAUCCACGUCUCAGUCACACACAGGUUUAAGGUUAUUGUAUUUUACCAGGUAAAUUGCUCUUCAUGUACAUUUUAAUUGAGCUGCUUCCUGGUAAAACAGUUGAAAGCCGUUCAUGAGCUGAAGAGAAGCCUUGUUUUACGGUAUUUGAGCGUCUGUUGUGUUACAGUUCAUGCUGCGUGUUGAAGAAGAUGAAGAUGUUUAAUUAAAUGACCAAAUGGCAAACCA